rnacentral:rRNA from 1 species
AUUGAACGCUGGCGGCAGGCCUAACACAUGCAAGUCGAACGAGUGGCGGACGGGUGAGUACUGUCUGGGAAACUGCCUGAUGGAGGGGGAUAACUACUGGAAACGGUAGCUAAUACCGCAUACCAUCGGAUGUGCCCAGAUGGGAUUAGCUAGUAGGUGGGGUAAAGGCUCACCUAGGCGACGAUCCCUAGCUGGUCUGAGAGGAUGACCAGCAAAACUGGAAUGGAGACACGGUCCGGACUCCUACGGGAGGCAGCAGUGGGGAAAAUUGCACAAUGUGGGCAAGCCUGAUGCAGCCCUGCCGCGUGUAGGAAGAAGGCCUUCGGGUUGUAAAGUCCUUUCAGCGGGGAGGCGUUACCCUCAGAAGAAGCACCGGCUAACUCCGUGCCAGCAGCCGCGGUAAUAC